CUAGUGUGGUGGUGCGCAACCAUGAAGUGGGUCCAGUUAUUUUGCGUGAUAUUCGCCGUCAUUUACGCCGUCACGGCUGACGACCAGGAAGCUGGUGAGGUUGACUAUACGAGCAGAUAUGCGGAGAUGGCAUCGCCGUUCCCUAACCAUCUGAACCUGGCCGAAUUCGUGGCGAUGCUCAGAGCAGCUGGUCACCCCCACAAUAUCUAUUAUAACUGACCACGAUAAAAAUAUAAAAUAAUUUAAACACCCAACUUUUUGUCCUAAAGUGUAUUAAAAUAUGUUGCGUUCUAAAUUCGAAAUCGGUAUAACGUUUUAUCCAAUCAAAAUAAAUGAUUGGAUAAAAUUUCUACGCUCAGCUAUUGGAUUAUGAAUUUGAAUUUUUUUGUUUCCUAUUUUCUCUUGUGAUAAACCCACUAAAUGCUAGUCCAAAUAAAAGUUUCGGGUUUUUUUUAAUAAUAAUAAUGUAGAAUUGAUUAAUGUAGAAUUUAUGUAACUCAAAUCGUUUUAAAGUCGGAGUCUAAAUUUAUUUCUUAUGGAUUCCAAUUUACCACCUAACUCAACUCAUAUUGUAAAAUUUUACUUUUUAAAAAAUAUAUAAAGUGCGAUCAUGUCAAA